ACUCCUACGGGAGGCAGCAGUAGGGAAUCUUCCGCAAUGGACGAAAGUCUGACGGAGCAACGCCGCGUGAGUGAAGAAGGCCUUCGGGUCGUAAAACUCUGUUGCCGGGGAAGAAAAAGUGCCGUUCGAACAGGGCGGCGCCUUGACGGUACCCGGCCAGAAAGCCACGGCUAACUACGUGCCAGCAGCCGCGGUAAUAC
rnacentral:rRNA from 1 species